GACGUAGGGUGCAAGCGUUGUCCGGAAUUAUUGGGCGUAAAGAGCUCGUAGGCGGUGUGUCGCGUCGGCCGUGAAAACCUGCAGCUUAACUGUGGGCGUGCGGUCGAUACGGGCAUCACUGGAGUUCGGCAGGGGAGACUGGAAUUCCUGGUGUAGCGGUGAAAUGCGCAGAUAUCAGGAGGAACACCGGUGGCGAAGGCGGGUCUCUGGGCCGGUACUGACGCUGAGGAGCGAAAGCGUGGGGAGCGAACAGG
rnacentral:rRNA from 1 species